UGAUGAUGGUGAGGGAAAUUUCUGAGCAUACUCUUAAAUCUCUCCCAAGAUUGGUAGAGAUUCUCUCCUUCUUUUUGUGUGAAACUUAGAAUCUCGCUUCUCAAUCG
rnacentral:snoRNA from 1 species